CACAGAGCCGACACUGCUCUCUUCAUCUUCUUCUCGAGACACAACCGGCCACCGCGAGCCCUAUCUCCGAUCGCCGACCCACCUUCACCGGCCACCAGGAUUUUGUGCUGUGGAGUACCUGAUUUCCAGGUGCUAAUCCUCUCCGGCAGUAAAUUGCCUUGGCUGUGAUUGAAGGUUAUUGCUUGGGUUCCAGCAACUACCUCUGUUCCGGCAGC